rnacentral:rRNA from 1 species
UACGUAGGGCGCAAGCGUUAUCCGGAAUUAUUGGGCGUAAAGAGCUCGUAGGCGGUGUGUCGCGUCGGCCGUGAAAACCUGCAGCUUAACUGUGGGCUUGCGGUCGAUACGGGCAUCACUGGAGUUCGGCAGGGGAGACUGGAAUUCCUGGUGUAGCGGUGAAAUGCGCAGAUAUCAGGAGGAACACCGGUGGCGAAGGCGGGUCUCUGGGCCGAUACUGACGCUGAGGAGCGAAAGCGUGGGGAGCAAACCGG